CCCUUCAAUGUACAGCCCAUCCCUGUCUGGUUCCCUCAUUGUUUUAAAGCACGUGCGGGGAGAGCAGGCAGAGGAAUGGGCACCAGCAGGUGGCGGGUGGGAAGAUGAGGCGUUGAAGGCACAGGCGUAGUAACGGGGGGCAGAGCGUGGGCACAUGGUGCUUGAGGGAGAUCCAAGCUUGUGAGCUUAUAUUUUACUUACAGAAUUAGAAGCUCUGUUUGGAGGAAUAAAUAAGUUUGCAAAGUGAAUGUAAUCCCUUUCCUUUCAUACAACUCUGGGGGGUUUUUUUCUUUUGUUUUCCUAGCUUGUGGAUAAUAAUUGUAUUCAGCUAACACGCUUGAUUCCUAACAUCCCCAGUGAAGAAUUCUAUUCCUGCUUUCCAACUUAGCCUUGACCUUACAUUGGAUAUAUUGAUUUUUCCAGUCUUUAAUAUCCAGCUCAAAUAAUAUGAGAAGUUGACCCCUAAAGACAUAAGCCUUUGAAGAUUUAUUUCCUGGUUGUCAGUUCUAGUACUCUGCCUCUAAAGAUUUUUUUUUAAUGAUGUAGAAUCCAAUCCGUUGGUGGAUAGAUUUCUUUUAGCUCAAAUUGACUCAUUAUCCAGUUUAUUUAGAAUAAUUACUCAGAAAAGUGACUCUGUAAAAUGCCAUCUUUAUCUGUCCCUUGAGGAUUUCCAUCCGAAAUCUGCCCAAUUUACAAGAGAAGGGGGAAGGGUCACUUGACUCAUUAAUAUAAUAUAUGGAGAUAUAUACCAUCUCAUAGAUGAGGGGUUUUCAUAGAUCAGGGGACUGGUGCACCAAAUCCUGCCCUUCCUCCCUGUUAGAGUUGUUUUUUCUUUUUGUAUCCUUGCAGAUACUGAAUGGUGAGAGGAACUGAGCGCACGAAGAUCAAAGGGUGCAAACGGCACAAGCUGCGGAUCACACAUGCACAACCCGGCUGAACACAGCUAUGUAAAGUCUCUGAACUGCGGUGCCGGGACAAGCCCAACACCAUGAGUUGAGCACUCGCAGGGACCCAUCUCAAAGAACCAUCGUUACUGCAUGAAGGUCGCAAAGAGGUCUAUUCGUGGCAAUCCUCAAGCUUGGAAGAUGUUGUCCAGAACAUCGGGGCGGAUUUUCCAUUUGUGCUCAUGAGGGAAGUAUCUGCUGAGAGCAUCUGUUAUGACGUUGCUUGUGCCUGAUCCCGAGGGGACUGAAAGAAUGCUGAAAGGAUCAGAGCUCCGUCUGUGGCUGAGGAUGGUUGAGAGGAACUGAGUGGGGAACCGGGUGCGCGCGAAGAUCAAAGGGCGCAAACGGCACAAGCUGCGGAUAGUGCAUGCGCGACCCAGCUGAACAUAGCUAUGCAAUGUCUCCAAACUGCAGCGCUGGGACGAGCCUGACACCAUGAGUGGAGCACCCAUGGGGACUACUCGAUCAAGAAUAUUACCUUUUUAGUGUUAUAUAUCCAGUCUGGCUGAUUUAUGAGAGAGUUAACCUCAAACUGGCUCUUAUUUGAGUGCUAAUAUGUGUCUAUUUUGCACCUCAGACCACUGUAAUUUCUUGAAACACUUCUCUGGGACUUUUUUUUAAAAACCUGUUAAGAUGUUGGGAAUUGUUCAGGGGCUUGGUACACAUAUGAGAUGCAUUGUAAGUAGUUUAAUGGGCAGUGUGUGCAAGUGAGAUAAUCAGAGGAGUAUGAUAAAUGCGAUACUUCACACAUAAUGUAAGUUGUGUUAGCGAUAAUGAGAUCAAUAUGAUAAAAUGCUAUGAAAUGAGGAAAUUUCACCCUAAUUUUAUUCUAGUCAAAGCCCCAGGUUGAACACUACUUGAAUCUGAAACAGUAAAUUUAAGGUCUAAUAUAACUGAGGUACAAGCAGGGGUACGAGCAGGAGUUUUAUCCCAUGAGAAAGAGGUGUUUUGCUGUGAUGGUACAGUUCUUUUGACGGUCAUCACCAGACUAUAAUGUGGUAUUUUUAUACAUAGAAAAGCUUUUUAAAGUAACUUCCAUAAGUGUGUAAUCUUUUUUUUUUCCUCCUCUUCUGAGACUUGUACAGUUUUAGACUGAUGGUAACUAAGGUAGUUACAGGCAGUCCCCGACAUACGCGGGUCAGUCCCCGACAUAUGCGUGUCGGAUCCGCACUUACGAACAGGGCUUUUCUCGCC